AUGGGGGCACCGAAAUGGGAGCAGGGAGAGCGGGGAUGGAGAGGUGGGAAAAGCCCAAAGGCGGCACCGGGAGCGAUCGGGUUCUGUACCGGGAGAGGCCAAAAAGUGCUGGGUGAGCUCAGACGGAACAACGGGACAGCCCGAAUCCGGUACCGGGACAGCCCCAAAGCCGGUACCGGGACAGCCCGAAUCCGGUACCGGGACAACACGAAUCCGGUACCGGGACAGCCCGAAUCCGGUACCGGGACAACCCGAAUCCGGUACCGGGACAGCCCCGAAUCCGGUACCGGGACAACCCCAAAUCCGGUACCGGGACAGCCCGAAUCCGGUACCGGGACAACCCGAAUCCGGUACCGGGACAGCCCCAAAGCCGGUACCGGGACAGCCCCGAAUCCGGUACCGGGACAGCCCCAAAGCCGGUACCGGGACAGCCCCGAAUCCGGUACCGGGACAGCCCGAAUCCGGUACCGGGGCAGCCCCAAAGCCGGUACCGGGACAACCCGAAUCCGGUACCGGGACAGCCCGAAUCCCGCACCAACCCAGCUCCAAUCCCGCACAGGGAGAACUCCAGCCCCGCACUCCCAAAGCCCCAAAUCCCUCCCCAGGAAUUCCCCGCUCACACCCGCACAGCCCGAAUCCACAUCCCGCACCGAGGGAACACGAAACCCGCAUCGGGACGGGCCCGAACUCCGCACAGAGAGAACCCAAAGCGGGCACCGAGAGAGCCCCGAACCCACAACAUGCACAACAUGCACCCCAAAACCCACAACAUGCACCCCAAAACCCACAGCAGGACACCCCAAAACCCGCACCAGGACAGCCCCGCACCCCGCCCCGCACAGCAGAACCCGCUCUGCCCCGCUCCCCACCGCCGAACCGCUCCGGUUCCGCUCCGGUUCCGCUCCGGUUCCGCUCCGGUUCCGUGCCGGUUCCGUGCCGGUUGUUCUCUUUGGGUCCGGUUCCCCCCCCACGGCACCGAGCUCCGCCCCGCCCCGCCCCGGGCACCGGCACCGCUUCCGCCUGUCCCGGAGUGAGUCAGCGCGGCCGCGUGGGGACGGGACCUAUAGGAUCCGAUGGGAUGGGGCAGAACCCUACAGGACCCGAUGGGAUGGGGCCUAUAGGAUCCGACGGGACAAAACACUUUAG
rnacentral:lncRNA from 1 species